rnacentral:rRNA from 1 species
GACUAACGCUGGCGGCGUGCUUAACACAUGCAAGUUGAACGGUAUCAACCAAGCAGCAAUGUGAGGUUGGUAUAGUAGCGGACGGGUGAGUAACGCGUGAGUAACCUGCCUUUGUGAGGGGGACAACAGCCGGAAACGGCUGCUAAUACCGCAUAAGACCACGGCUUCGAUUGGAGCAGGGGUAAAAGAAAUUCGCACAAAGAUGGACUCGCGUCCCAUUAGCUAGUUGGUGAGGUAACGGCCCACCAAGGCGACGAUGGGUAGCCGACCUGAGAGGGUGAUCGGCCACACUGGAACUGAGACACGGUCCAGACUCCUACGGGUGGCUG